rnacentral:rRNA from 1 species
CGGGUGAGUAAUGCGUGACCAACCUGCCCCAUGCUCCAGAAUAGCACUUGGAAACGGGUGGUAAUGCUGGAUGCUCCAACUUGACGCAUGUCUUGUUGGGAAAGUGUUUAGUGGCAUGGGAUGGGGUCGCGUCCUAUCAGCUUGUAGGCGGGGUAAUGGCCCACCUAGGCUUCGACGGGUAGCCGGCCUGAGAGGGCGGACGGCCACAUUGGGACUGAGAUACGGCCCAGACUCCUACGGGAGGCAGCAGCC